CCUCCCUUUCCGGUAGCUGGGAACACACUAGUGUCACCACUCAGGCAUCUCCUUUGCCUUUGUUCACCAUAACUCUAAAAAUUUCUAUGUUGGGGCCUGGGCCAUCGCUCAACUGUCAGCUUGCUCACCUAGCAUGCAUGAGGCACUGGAUUCAAGCCUCGAACCACAUCCUGCAGCACCAGAGCUUCAGGUCCAAAGCACUGGUAUCAUCUCUGACUCAGGGCCAUGUUAGUCCUAGCCCCAGGAGCAACCCCAAGCAACAAGGCAGAAAACAGUGAAGAACCUCGUAUCCUUGCCCUUGCGCCUGGGUGUGUUCUGUGGAAUCUCUCAUGGCACUGCCUCUGCUCCCCAGGGCAGGGGAAAACAACGGUGGGCUCUGACAUACCUCUGCGCAUUCCACACAGUGGCUGUCCUCUGCAGAAUCCUUGGAAACAUUUGACUGGCAAAGGAUUUGAAACAAGCAGUUCACUACUAUAAUGACUUUCCAGGAAUUCCUCUGAAGGUGGAGAGAUGGCCAGGAAACCCACACGCAGCUAACACACCAAAGGAUGAAGCAAGAGUGCUGGAAUGUAGCUUGGUAUUAAAGGAUGUGCCUGAUGCCUGGGGUGUGCAAGGUCCUGUGUUUGAUUACAGCCAAGAGCUGGGGGGGGGGGUGUCACUAAUAAAACCUGUUACUUUGAUCUUCGAGGUAGUCAGGUGCAAUAAAAAUAUCCCCUGAAAACGUAUAACCACAAACUAGCCUUCACAUUGGUUUGUGACCUAAUUCACAUAGCCUGUGUUUUCUGAGAAACCCCAGAUGAUUUAUUUUUAAAUGACUCCAGAGUAGAUGUAACAUUGCUACCCAAACCCUCAAAGACCACACAAAGAGAACCAAAAGACCAGCCUGACUUAGAAACAUCAAUGCAAAAACAUUAAGUAAAAUGCAAAGAAAUGGAUAUCAAUGCAAAAACAUUAAGUAAAAUGCAAAGAAAUGGAAUUGAGGGACACAUUCCCAAAGGAACUGUGAGCUUUGAUAUAUGAGUGAGAAAAAUGGUCCAUUAUCAAAGUCUAGGUAUGUUAUAGCCAAGCUUGAUGGUUCAUGCAUAAACCCAGGACUUGGAAGGCUAAGAAAAGGUGAUUGCGGAAUUUAGAGGCCAGCCUGGGCUACAUAGCAAGAUCCUGUCUCAAAACAAUCAAACUUAUGGAAAUCUUGGUAUUUUCAUGUCUUAAGAGAAAAAUGGUGUGAUCUUAGUUGAUAUUAAUUUGGGAGGGAAGGGGCUUUCUUUCUUUUUUUAGGUUUAUUUAUUAUGUAUACAGUGUUCUGUCUGUCUGUAUGUCUGCAGGGCAGAAGAGGGCACCAGAUCUCAUUACAGAUGGUUGCGAGCCACCAUGUGGUUGCUGGGAAUUGAACUCAGGAAGAGCAGCCAGUGCUCUUAACCACUGAGCCAUCUCUCCAGCCCCUGGGAGGGGGCUUUCUUGAUUUAAGAAAAUCCCCAUGAAAUAUGCAGAACUUCCUCAUAGGUAUUUAUUUAUUAGUCCAGACCCUACCUUAUUUAUUUAUUAUUUUCAUUAUUCUUUGACAUAUAUGGGUGCUUUGACUGUAUGUAUGUGGGCACUCCAUGCAUUCUUGGUGCCUGCUAAGGUCAAAAGGGGAUGCUGGAAACCCCAGGACUGGCGUUACAGACAGUUUUGUUGCUCUGUGGUUAUUGGGAACAGAACCUGGGUCCUCUGGAUGAGAAGUUGCUGCUCCUAACUAACUGCUGAGCCGUCUAUCCAGCCCUAGAAUCUAUUUUAAGAUUGAUGUUAUUAUUUGGUGUGUGUGUGUGUAUGUGUGUGUGUGUGUGUGUGUGUGUGUGUGUGCUCACGCAUGUCCACUAAAGUACAUGUGCAUGUGUACAUAUGAGUUCACUGUUCUCAAAAGAGAGUGGCAAAUGCCGUGGAGACAUCAGCCUCCAGAUGUGGGAACCGAUCUCAGCCCCUCUGGAAACGCAGCAGGUGUUCUGGACUGCUGAGCCGCUGCUCCAGUCCCCAGAAUCAACCUUGAUGAGAAACAAUGGCAGCCUCAGGCUGAAGUAAAAGCAAGACCAGAAUGCCCUCACCACCAUUAACAAAAACACCGCCUGAGGCUGCUCACAGAUGCAAUUAGAUGAGAGAAAAGUGUGAGAGAGGAGCUGAGAAUGGGUCUCCAUUCACAGAGAGAGGAGCUGAGAAUGGGUCUCCAUUCACAAAGAGAGGAGCUGAGAAUGGGUCUCCAUUCAUGGAGUGCUUGCCUGGCAGGGAGCCCUGGCUCAGUCCCCAGCACUGUAGCAAGUGAGCAUGGUGAUACUGACACACAACUGGGAUCUUAGUACUCAGCUGGU
rnacentral:lncRNA from 1 species